rnacentral:misc_RNA from 1 species
AUUAAUAGCUACAAUUGGCACCAACACUCUAAAGUGAAGGAUGUAAUUGAUACAAGAGAAUGAUUUGCCUAAAUCUAAGUUUUCCUUUAUGUAUGAAAAGGAUUGAGAGAGCAUUACUAUGAAAAUUCUCAUUCAAUAGAAUAGGACAGUAUAAUAUCAUGAUUAUGCGAACAUCAAAAGCAAAUACUAUGGAUUUCUAGUGUAUUACCAUAAUGAUUGUAGCACCAUUUUAUUAUUAACUGUCACUUAAGAUAUCUUCAAAAUUGGAAAACGCAAUUUUACAAUGUUCAAAACUGGAAAACUGAUUAGACCAUAUUAACAGUCUUUUCUUUCUUUUCCUUGAAAAGAGUUCCUGUAGAAAUGUCACCCCAGAAACCUACGUGCUGCAAGUCUAGUUCCCUAAAGAAAGGAGCUUUAAAUACCAAAUUAUAAUCACCAUAACACAAAGCAGUUAACGUGACUCACUGACUAAAAGAUGCACCAAAUCAUUCAACCUUGAUAUAGACAGCCAUAGCAAAUAUCAAUUUAAAACGAUCAUAUUCAAGCAUAAACAUAGCCAUUGAUCUAUCAGUUAAUCUAUCAAUAAAACCCAUUAACAUAUAUUAGUAGUUGAGACAAAUAUGUGCUUGUUAUUUUGCAUGCAAACAGUCCAUUAUUUAUAUUGAUAUUAAAAGCAAUUCUAGAAUUGCUAUCAAGUUGGCAAUAAUUUAAUCAAACAUUAACAGCCACUAUCCUAUUAAUUAAUUCUUACUUAUGGCGAACCAAUGUCUUGAGCCUUCUUUAAUGGGUUAUCUUCUUUUGAAGCAACUGACACGAGCAGUCAAAUAGGCCCACAAUCUGCUUCCUGAAGGCGACAGCAAAUAGAAGCAGUUUCUGUGGAAAUGGAAAUUCUCUUCAAAAACUACCCUUUUGGCCAUAGGAUGAUAGAUUACUGCGUAUCUGUCCAGGAAAGGAAACAAGAAAACCUUCCCAUAUUUGGAACCAUUAGCAGAGGCCCAUUUUGAAAAAGGUUCCCAUUUUCUUUCCAAAAAGGAGUCCAUGAGAUAGACUCGAAACAGCUACUUUGCUUCAGGAAUACAUAUAUCCUUAAUAAUAAUCAACAACAGGCAAAAAUAAGGUUAUUUUAUGGAAACCCAUCUGAGUUAGACCAAAUUAAAACCCCAAAUCAGGGGCAGACUAAGGGAGAUCAAGAAACAGGAAAGGGCCAAAAUUACCCAUUAAGUUUAGUCCUCUUUACCUUGCAUGGUCUCUGGAAAACAAAGAAGAAAGCACAGGAAAAAAAAAAAAAAACCCACAA